AGUGGGGAAUUUUGGACAAUGGGCGCAAGCCUGAUCCAGCCAUGCCGCGUGCGGGAAGAAGGCCUUCGGGUUGUAAACCGCUUUUGGCAGGAACGAAACGGCACCCCCUAAUACGGGGUGUUAAUGACGGUACCUGCAGAAUAAGCACCGGCUAACUACGUGCCAGCAGCCGCGGUAAUACGUAGGGUGCAAGCGUUAAUCGGAAUUACUGGGCGUAAAGCGUGCGCAGGCGGCUAUGCAAGACAGAUGUGAAAUCCCCGGGCUUAACCUGGGAACUGCAUUUGUGACUGCAUGGCUCGAGUUUGUCAGAGGGGGGUGGAAUUCCACGUGUAGCAGUGAAAUGCGUAGAGAUGUGGAGGAACACCGAUGGCGAAGGCAGCCCCCUGGGACAUGACUGACGCUCAUGCACGAAAGCGUGGGGAGCAAA
rnacentral:rRNA from 1 species